rnacentral:rRNA from 1 species
AGUGAACGCUGGCGGUAGGCCUAACACAUGCAAGUCGAACGGCAGCACAGUAAGAGCUUGCUCUUACGGGUGGCGAGUGGCGGACGGGUGAGGAAUACAUCGGAAUCUACUUUUUCGUGGGGGAUAACGUAGGGAAACUUACGCUAAUACCGCAUACGACCUACGGGUGAAAGCAGGGGAUCUUCGGACCUUGCGCGAUUGAAUGAGCCGAUGUCGGAUUAGCUAGUUGGCGGGGUAAAGGCCCACCAAGGCGACGAUCCGUAGCUGGUCUGAGAGGAUGAUCAGCCACACUGGAAGUGAGACACGGUCCAGACUACUACGGGAGGCAGCAGUGGGGAAUAUUGGACAAUGGGCGCAAGCCUGAUACAGCCAUACCGCGUGGGUGAAGAAGGCCUUCGGGUUGUAAAGCCCUUUUGUUGGGAAAGAAAAGCAGCAGGUUAAUACCCCGCUGUUCUGACGGUACCCAAAGAAUAAGCACCGGCUAACUUCGUG